CUCGGCGCUACUGCCAAGUCGAAUUGGAGAUGGGUCCGAAGAUGGAAUGUGAUUUGGAGAUGGGAGCACGCAUGGAUCUUCGACUAGAGGAAAUCUCUCAACACUUAGAAGCUUGAAAUUUGCUGUUGUGCUUCCCUGUGAGAAAUUGGUGGUUGUGACAGCAGUAUUAGCUAGAGCUUAGCCUUAGCGUGCAUUGGAUAGGCACUCAAUUCAAAGACUCCGUCGUAUUCUAGGUGAGUGGUAGUUCAAGCAGGACAGGUGAUUGUAGUCACAGUAGUUUUAAAGUCUCGAAGCUUUAUUUUGAGGAUUCGGUGAAGCAUGUAGCUUUGAGUUUCUUUAUGGUUUGAAACUGCUACAGAGACGCUGCUGCCAGGAAUUGAGAGAGCAAGGCUUGUUGCUGCUACAAUAUAGGAAGGCCCGCUGGUGGGAUUUGAAAGCGCAAGGCCUACACCAGAGGCGCCACUGCGAUAUGUUCAUCGGGACGCUGCCCGGCAUGGUUUCAUCGGGACGCUGCCUGGCAUGUUGGUUUUGACAUCAUUGACACCCGAAGGUGCCGCUGUGAGGAGGGCCUGCAACAGAAAAGAGAAGGUGGUGGAGAGCUAUGGAAUGAGGUCCUGAACCUUUUGUCUUCCAAGAUCCUUUGCUGCUUUCUCCUUCUGCUUUUCCACCGUUGCUGUGCUCCGUUGCGUCCUCUUUUUCUUCUUUUCAUGUAGUGUUUUUAUACUGCACCCGAGAUGAGUUUGGCUUGUAUACAACACAGAGGAUUGCAGCUUCUUUUUCAAUUGCUUGUCUAGACUUUGAAACAAGCUAGAAGUCAGCAGCUUAAUUGUUUCUUUUGUUUAAAGCUUCACUAGCUGUCAAACUCGUCCGCUAUUUUUCUUGAGAUAAAAGGUUUUUAAUAUUACAUAAAUUAAAGCACUCUUAUUUUCUUUCAGUGGACGAAACUUAAUGUAAUUGGGUAUGUAUUUUUUUCAUUUCAACAGUUGCCCCCUCAAGCGUCGU
rnacentral:lncRNA from 1 species